rnacentral:misc_RNA from 1 species
CAACCCUCAUUCAUGUGAUGUUACAGUCGCAUGAAUGGAUUUGGACCGUGUCGUAAUCGACUCGUCCCGAAAUGCAUUAGCUUGCGCUUUUAGAGUGCUGGGCACCGGUGUGAUAAUUAUCUGCGCCAACGCCUUAAGCCUCUUCAGCGGUGCUGCUUACAGCCGUCCUGACGGACAACUAUUUUAACG